UUGCUGUGUUUACCUUUUUAGUUGUUGGAAUCACUUUCUACAUAAUCACCAAAAUAAGAAACUUCAGGUCUUGCUUGACUCAUCUCUGCUGUGGUGACCUUGGAGCUUUCAUAUUCCAGAUUGCACAGCCAUAAGAUGAAAGAAGACUUCUGACUUACAUUAAACUCUGAGGAGAAGUUCACAUAACUAGAAUAAGUUAGGAAGAAAACCUUUCUUCUGGAAAGAAAAUUUCCUAGAAGAAGAAUAGAUGAUGAGAAGGUUGAGGUAAAUAUAAAUAUAUAUGUAUAUGUAUACAUACACAUGCACACACACAAG
rnacentral:lncRNA from 1 species